UCGCCUGUUUAUCAAAAACAUCGCCUCUUGCAAAACUCAAAAAUAAGAGGUCCCGCCUGCCCSGUGACUAUUUGUUUAACGGCCGCGGUAUUUUGACCGUGCGAAGGCAGCGCAAUCACUUGUCUUUUAAAUGAAGACCCGUAUGAAUGGCAUAACGAGGGGUUAACUGUCUCCUCUUUCAAGUCAAUGAAAUUGAUCUCCCCGUGCAGAAGCGGGGAUAUAAACAUAAGACGAGAAGACCCUAUGGAGCUUUAGACACUAAGGCAGCCCACGUUAAAGACCCUAAAUAAAGGAUUAAACCAAGUGAGCCCUACCCUAAAGUCUUUGGUUGGGGCGACCGCGGGGAAUUAAAGAACCCCCACGUGGAAUGGGGACACCCUUCCUACAACUAAGAACUACAGUUCUAGUAAACAGAAUUUCUGACCAGCAAGAUCCGGCAAUGCCGAUCAACGGACCGAGUUACCCUAGGGAUAACAGCGCAAUCCUCUUUUAGAGCCCAUAUCGACAAGGGGGUUUACGACCUCGAUGUUGGAUCAGGACAUCCUAAUGGUGCAGCCGCUAUUAAGGGUUCGUUUGUUCAACGAUUAAAGUCCUACGUGAUCUGAGUUCAGAC
rnacentral:rRNA from 1 species